GGCGAGGUCGCAUAGUGGUCUAGUGCAGCCGCCUUGAAAGCGGCCGGGCUGAGAGGUCCCGUGGGUUCGAAUCCCACCCUCGCCG
rnacentral:tRNA from 1 species